GCACAGGGAAGUUGGUCUUGGCAUUGCGGCCACUCAUCAACACAGCAGCCUCGUCGUAGGCUCGUGCAGCUUCCUCGGCCGUCUCAAAGCCUUAUUUCAUGGCAAGAUUACUUCGUACACCGUAUCAACAUUGAAGUAUCUGAACAGUCUGCCUGCAAUAAUUGGCGGCUUGUCAUAUUUCACCUAUCAACUGCCCCUCGCUACAGAUGUGUUCUGUAAAAGUGAUUCAGAUUGAUGAAGUUCGUUGCUCUUGUCGACUGGUUAAUUAAUGAGAGAAACAGGUGUCUUAGCGAUCAUGAUCGUUCGAUGAAUUAUUUCCGGCAAAAUUCUGGACCUUAGCGGGAUAUCGGAAUAGGGCCGGCCGGUCUAUCUUUGCUCUCUGGUCUGCUAUACCAGGUAUCUGUGAUGAACUGGUGUGGACCUCGGCAAUCGAUUACCAUGAUCAUGAUGAUACAUUUGUCACCAUCUGCUAGAGUUCUACAACUCUUACGUCUGCAGGUAUCGUGUAUACUCUUUGUUUUACAAUUUCAGUCCCAGCUAGUUAGUAGUUACUUGAGUCAUGAUGCUUCCUGACUAUUUGCUCCCUCCGUUCCAUAUGUGUUUUAGUUUUUGCUCUAAAUCAAACUUUUCUAAUUUUAGCAAGUUUUAUAGAAAAAUGUAUUAGCACAUAAAUUAGUUUUAUUAAAAUCCACCAUGUA